rnacentral:rRNA from 1 species
CACGGGGGAUGCAAGCGUUAUCCGGAUUUAUUGGGUUUAAAGGGUGCGUAGGCGGAUGAUCAAGUCAGCGGUGAAAGUUCAUGGCUCAACCAUGGAAUUGCCGUUGAAACUGGUUAUCUUGAGUGUAGAUGAGGUAGGCGGAAUUCGUAGUGUAGCGGUGAAAUGCUUAGAUAUUACGAAGAACUCCAAUUGCGUAGGCAGCUUACCAGGCUACAACUGACGCUGAGGCACGAAGGUGCGGGUAUCAAACAGGAUUAGAUACCCUGGUAGUCCGCACAGUAAACGAUGAAUACUAACUGUUUGCGAUAUACAGUAAGCGGUACAGCGAAAGCGUUAAGUAUUCCACCUGGGGAGUACGCCGGCAACGGUGAA